GAUUAUGACGUGCUUGCACUGAAUGAGAUUUUAACACGAAGUGAGUGGCGGACGGGUGAGUAACACGUGGGUAACCUGCCCAGAAGCAGGGGAUAACACCUGGAAACAGAUGCUAAUACCGUAUAACAGAGAAAACCGCCUGGUUUUUCUUUUAAAAGAUGGCUCUGCUAUCACUUCUGGAUGGACCCGCGGCGCAUUAGCUAGUUGGUGAGGUAACGGCUCACCAAGGCGAUGAUGCGUAGCCGACCUGAGAGGGUAAUCGGCCACAUUGGGACUGAGACACGGCCCAGACUCCUACGGGAGGCAGCAGUAGGGAAUCUUCCACAAUGGACGCAAGUCUGAUGGAGCAACGCCGCGUGAGUGAAGAAGGGUUUCGGCUCGUAAAGCUCUGUUGUUAAAGAAGAACGUGGGUGAGAGUAACUGUUCACCCAGUGACGGUAUUUAACCAGAAAGCCACGGCUAACUACGUGCCAGCAGCCGCGGUAAUACGUAGGUGGCAAGCGUUAUCCGGAUUUAUUGGGCGUAAAGCGAGCGCAGGCGGUCUUUUAAGUCUAAUGUGAAAGCCUUCGGCUCAACCGAAGAAGUGCAUUGGAAACUGGGAGACUUGAGUGCAGAAGAGGACAGUGGAACUCCAUGUGUAGCGGUGAAAUGCGUAGAUAUAUGGAAGAACACCAGUGGCGAAGGCGGCUGUCUGGUCUGUAACUGACGCUGAGGCUCGAAAGCAUGGGUAGCGAACAGGAUUAGAUACCCUGGUAGUCCAUGCCGUAAACGAUGAUUACUAAGUGUUGGGAGGGUUUCCCGCCCUUCAGUGCUGCAGCUAACGCAUUAAGUAAUCCGCCUGGGGGAGUACGACCGCAAGGGUUGAAACUCAAAAAUAAUUGACGGGGGGCCCGCACCAAG
rnacentral:rRNA from 1 species